GAUUCGUGGCGACUUGCACUGAGUCAUAGCAGAUAAGAGCGCGGAGUCGUGGUGGCCUAUGACAGGAUUACAAUGUGCUGACAAAUGACAUCAUAUAGUGCCACUAGCUGAGCAGCAAUGAGUUGUGCGAUUCGAGAACAACAAAUGACGAGUCCAAAAUGCAGGCGCAUACAUACAUAUAUGCUUUUUCUGUUGGGUGUGUGCCAAGUGUUAUAGCAGACAAAAAUGGUGAAAUUAAAAAGUCAGCCAUAGACCCGGCCGGCGAUCAUAACAACGGCAGAACACAAAAGAUGCCAAAGCAAUGUGUCAGAGCAAUCAGUCAAGAGGCCAAACACUCCGGGAGGCCGACAAUUGAGUCAUUAGCCAAAUUAGACAAAUUGUAGCAGCCGUAGCAUAACAUAAAAUCAAUAAAAACACUAUGUAUAUACAUAUACAUAAAUAAUGUAUAUGAUUGAAACUAAA